rnacentral:rRNA from 1 species
AACGAACGCUGGCGGCAGGCUUAACACAUGCAAGUCGAGCGCCCCGCAAGGGGAGCGGCAGACGGGUGAGUAACGCGUGGGAAUCUACCCAUCUCUACGGAAUAAAGCCAGGGAAAGGAUGCUAAUACCGUAUAAGUUCUUCGGGAGGAAGAUUUUGUGGAGAUGGAUGAGCCCGCGUUGGAUUAGCUAGUUGGUGGGGUAAAGGCCUACCAAGGUGACGAUCCAUAGCUGGUCUGUGAGGAUCAACAGCCACACUUGGGCUGAGACAAGGCCCACACUACUACGCGAGGCAGCAGUGGGGAAUAUUGGACAAUUAGCGCAAGCCUGAUCCAGCCAUGCCGCGUGAGUGAUAAAGGCCCUAGGGUUGUAAAGCUCUUUCACCGGUGAAGAUAAUGACGGUAACCGGAGAAGAAGCCCCGGCUAACUUCGUGCCAGCCGCCGCCGUAACAC